CCCACACACCUGCAGGGCCUCUCCACACCAAACACAGCAGCCAAACGCUGCACGGACUUCCAGGAGUUUUUGAAAGGGAGACUGAAAGACGGGAUUCAAAGCGCGGGCUGGUCACCUGGAGGCAAGGUGACGGUGCGGCCUGUCAAGGAGGGAGCUGUUCGAAUACGGUGGCUGUGGACCUGCGAACACCCUGUGCACUAGAGGGAGACCAGAGUGUGUUCAAUCAAGAUGGCCGCCGGAACAACUAAUUCCGUUUGGAUUAGUCAUUCCCGCUGCCCCACAGGCCACACCUCCCCGGACAUGUGCUGUGGCUACGCCCCCUCGUUAGUGGCUGGGUGUUCUGUCGUUUGUUAAUGAGGCACACCGGCGACCACCGCGACCUCCUCCACGUUAUCUCAAAACAACCCAUCCGUCAGCAGAAACUUGUGUAGGAGACUGUUAAUGAAGCAGGUACUAAUUACAAAUGGCGACGACGGAGAAUUGGGGUCGUCCCGCCAUUUCAGAUAAAAGAACAUUGCUAAUGUGUCUGGUUGUCAUCAUUCAACUUGAGGCAUUGUGGCCCAAAGCUCUUCACAAGGUGAUAAGCAGAAAUUCUAUCACUAUAACGAAAGACUUUUUAUAUAAUUAUUGUUAGUUUUCAUGACUUUCAUUUCUCAGUCUUUUCUUUCGGGCUCAGAAACUGCUGAUUCAGAUAUGACCCUUUUUUUCUAGGUCGUAAAAUAAAUGUCCAAGAAUGCCAAAUCCAUAUAACAUAUCUAACUUGUCUUAACACUGACCUCUAUGCAUACACCUGGGAGAUGAGAAUCUGGAAUGUGCUGAAAGACCUUGGUGUUUUACAUUAGCCAAGACUGCAACUUUAAAAAAGACCAAAAUACAUAUUCCAGCCUGAUAGUUCCAUUGUACGUUAGUUAUUAUAGCCUUGAGGUUGUUGUAAGGCUUCAGAAUGUCUUCAGUAUAAGUUUUUACCUGCUAUAAAAUAAAAUACAAUUCCACCUCA